AGACCGAUAGCGAACAAGUACCGUGAGGGAAAGAUGAAAAGCACUUUGGAAAGAGAGUUAAACAGUACGUGAAAUUGUUGAAAGGGAAACGAUUGAAGUCAGUCAUGCUCUUUGGGUUAAGCCUUUCGGGGUGUAUUCCAUUGAGUGGGGUCAACAUCAGUUUUGACCGCUGGAAAAAGGCACGAGGAAGGUAGCACUCUCGGGUGAACUUAUAGCCUCGCGUCAUAUACAGUGGUUGGGACUGAGGAACGCAGCAUGCCUUAUGGCCGGGAUUCGUCCACGUACAUGCUUAGGAUGUUGACAUAAUGGCUUUAAACGACCCGUCUUGAAACACGGACCAAG
rnacentral:rRNA from 1 species